CCUACGGGUGGCAGCAGUGAGGAAUAUUGGUCAAUGGGCGUAAGCCUGAACCAGCCAAGUCGCGUGAGGGAUGAAGGUUCUAUGGAUCGUAACCCUCUUUUAUAAGGGAAUAAAGUGCGGGACGUGUUCCGUUUUGUAUGUACCUUAUGAAUAAGGAUCGGCUAACUCCGUGCCAUCAGCCGCGGUACUACGGAGGAUCCGAGCGUUAUCCGGAUUCAUUGGGCUUACAGGGAGCGUAGGCGGGCGGUCACGUCAGCUGUAAAAUCGCGCGGCUCAACCGCGCCCCGCAGUUGACACUGGACGACUUGAGUGCACAACAGGCAGGCGGAAUUCGUGGUGUAGCAGUGAAAUGCGUAGAUAGCACGAGGAACCCCGAUUGCGAAGGCAGCCUGCCGGGGUGCGACUGACGCUGAGGCUCGAAGGUGCGGGUAUCAAACAGGAUUAGAUACCCCAGUAGUC
rnacentral:rRNA from 1 species